rnacentral:rRNA from 1 species
UACAGAGGGCUCAAGCGUUGUUCGGAUUCAUUGGGCGUAAAGGGUGUGUAGGUGGCGCCGUAAGUCGGGUGUGAAAUUUCGGAGCUUAACUCCGAAACUGCAUUCGAUACUGCGGUGCUUGAGGACUGGAGAGGAGACUGGAAUUCAUGGUGUAGCAGUGAAAUGCGUAGAGAUCAUGAGGAAGACCAGUGGCGAAGGCGGGUCUCUGGACAGUUCCUGACGCUGAGGCACGAAGGUCAGGGGAGCAAACGGG